rnacentral:lncRNA from 1 species
UGUUGACAGCCAUUACUCAUUAGAUAAUUGUGUUGAGUUGUUGUCAAAAGUUUUCCUAUUUUUCCAUGAAAAUUACCCAUGAAUUCAUAAGAAGGAACUGGAAAGGAAACAGUGGCAUACAGUUGCCUACCAUCACUAACACCAACUCUUUUAUUAAAAAUCUUCGUUCUGCUGAAUGCAUCAUGCAGUUAAUACAGGUCACUACCCCAGUGUGGACAUGUUUGUUUUUCAACAAAUAAUUCAUUGACAUACAAGGAAAACUAUGAAAAAUAUCAUAUCAUCUUGGCCAUGGGUAAUCUUCAGGUUUAUUGCAGCAGCUUAAGAGAAGAAUAUGAACAAAUGCAGGGCAAAUACCAACAUGUGUUGUAUUUUUCUGAAUGUUAAACACAAGCAGUAGAUUCAACAUGACUAACUGUUUGAUGCCAAAGUUGGUUGGAACUCAACUCACUGUACGUACUCUAACACAGAUAACUGGUGCUGUUGCCUUUCAGCCACAGGCAGGAAAAUCAUUCUUUUCUUCAGAAAAUUGGAAAGCUGCUGGAGUAAUCUGGUGUUCAUGCUCAUUUGAUUCAUUUCGUGCCAGCUAGUGAAAGCCGAAAGGCAUGUCAAUUCAAUUGAGUUGCUCCGUGCUGUCUCGAAGCAAGCAAUCCAGCCGUUGCGUUCAGUCAUUUGGAACAGGAAUCUAAUGGCUGUGAAUAAGUGGCUGAAAUAAUGUCCACCAGGUGGCGCGAGUGUAUUCAGGGACAGGGAAGCACAUCGGCCAUUUUGUUCCAAGACGCAGCAGAAAUGGGUUGUGAGUUGUGACGUUUCUCACGAUGAAAAUUAAAAGGUGAUUUAGCACGUAGAAACCAAGUUGCCAAAUCAUUCAGCUCGGACUUGGAAGUGUCUGUACAUUUCCGAAAUGGCGUGCCUCGUGUGUCUCGCUGCCUGUUCUUAGACGUACAUCUCAUCACUUUAACAGCAAAAAGUAUAACAAACACUUCUUUAACGCUGGUGGUUGCCUUGUUGCAGCAAAAUGGUGAACGGUGUGAUGAAGACACACUGAACUUUGUAUGCAGCAUGCGGUCACAGUGUAAUCCAGAAGUUGCUGUGCUGUUGUAGCUGAGCUGUUCCAUCUGGGUUCCUGACUUAAAAAUUUUGGUUUUGCUGUUUGUGUUUUCAACCAUGCCAUAAGAAAUUGCUUUGCGAGAGAUAUUUUGUGUUGCUGAGUUCAAAGUUUGAUCUGUUGUCUUUUGAGUCUUCAUUCAAUCAUGCAGUAUAUGACUGAGGCAAUCUGAUCAAUAUCAGGUUUGACACAGUCGAGAACUGCUAGAUAAAACAAGCUUUCUGCUCCAAACAAAUAAUGACUUGCAUAUAUCUUGCAUCAUGUUAUUAUCGCGGUAGAGAAAGCGACAGGCCCCCCCCCC